GACGAACGCUGGCGGCGUGCUUAACACAUGCAAGUCGAACGGAAAGGCCCUGCUUUUGUGGGGUGGUCGGGUGGCGAACGGGGGAGUAACACGUGAGUAACCUGCCCUUGACUUUGGGAUAACUUCAGGGAACUGGGGCUAAUACCGGAUAGUAGCUCCUGCUGCGUGGGGGGGGUGGGAAAGUUUCGGCGGUUGGGGAUGGACUCGCGGCGUAUGGGCUUGUUGGUGGGGUAGUGGCUUACCAGGGCUUUGACGGGUAGCCGGCCUGAGAGGGUGACCGGCCACAUUGGGACUGCGAGACGGCCCAGACUGCUACGGGAGGCAGCAGUGGGGAAUAUGGCAGAAGGGGCGGAAGCCUGAUGCAGCAACGCCGCGUGCGGGAUGGCGGCCUUCGGGUUGGAAGCCGCUUUCGCCUGUGACGAAGCGGGAGUGACGGUAAUGGGUAAAGAAGCACCGGCUAACUACGUG
rnacentral:rRNA from 1 species